rnacentral:rRNA from 3 species
GAAUUGCAGAAUUCCGCGAAUCAUCGAGUCUUUGAACGCAAGUUGCGCCCGAGGCUUGUCCCGAGGGCAUGCCUGCCUGAGCGUCAC